AGAUAAUGUACCUCGGCGCUGCCACAAGCUAUUCAGCAUCGACUGCGCUGUGCUUCUUCCAAGAGUCUGUGGAAAGAUAUGGUUUCCCUCUUAGAUUAAGACGUGACGUGAAGAUCCUGCAGGAAGUGGCACAGCAUAACGUAAACUUCAACGGAUUUCCCCUGCACAGGGAGUAGGACACAGUGGUCAGAGGAGACCAUGGAGUCGAGAACGUGGAUAUUGCACGUUUAAUGUUCACAGUUCGUGGCAAAAGGGAGAAGCAGUUUCAUUUCUGGAAAAAGUAUCCACAAUCAAAG